GGGGAAAGACUUAGAACCCCACGAACGUGGUGUUAAUAGUUGUACUUUUGGCCGAGUGCGACGGUUAGUGAAUC
rnacentral:ncRNA from 1 species